GUCACUAUAAUAUUAUAAUAGGUAUUAUACAUUAAAAAUAUUACAAAUAAAAAAAAUGUUCUUACCGUGUAAUACAAAAAAAAAAAAAUAAAUAUAAAUCGACUAGAUAUUAUUAUUUACAAUAGAAUAAAAAUCAAAUUAAAAAAAAAAGUUACCCGUUGAAAUGGGUUUUUUUUUUUUUUUUAUUGUUGUUGUUUGUUUUCCGGGGAACGGAAAUUCCUUGCCGUAUACAAUAGACAGAGAUAUUAUUAAUUAGUACAUAGAACUUCACAGAAUAUUAUUAUUAUUAAAAACGAGUUAAGUGUUAUAUAAAAACAGAGAACCGUAUGGGAAUAACAAAGGUAUAAACGUGUCUGAGCUUACACGCACAAUUUAACUAAUAUUUUAAUAAGUAUUAUUAUUAUAUAAUAUAACAAUGUUGUUCUUGUUUAACAUUUUUUUUUUUACGUCUUAAGUCUGUUAUACUUUUUUCAAAACCGUUUCAAUAUUUUCUCAUUUCCGAACGACGGUAAUUACAUAACAUUAUAAUAUAAUAACAGGUAACGGAGUUUGUUAAUUUAUUAACAUUGAGCUUUUAUCGCGCCACCGUUUUUUUGUAAGUACUAAAGCAUAAAAUUGUCUGUGGUUUUGUGUGUAUGUGUGUGUGUGUUUGUGUGUAUGUGCAAAUUUCGCAGAGAAAUCAAUUAAACGAAUAUUGUUGAAACUCGGUGACUCGAGCUGCCCGGCGAUACGAACGCCGAAAAAUAAUAAUUAAUAUUAAUUGGCGAGGCGUGUCAACGCGGAAUAUUGCUA